AUCAACAACCUGGGGAGACAGGUCAUGCGAUCCUGGCUGCCCCCAAACACACAUCCUGGGCCUCCAUCCAUGGUCCCUUCUCUGUUUCCAGGGGGCCUGUCGUCCCAGUGUCAGGAUGUCCAUGUCAGGGGUUGGGAUAGGGCUUUGCAUUUACUCUUCUUCCUGUCUGGUUCUCUUAGGCCCCGGAGGAGGGAGUUCAACUCGACCCCACCUGACAUCCAGGGCCAGCUCCCUGCCUGGCCCAGCCUCCACUGGGUCUGUAUAGGUGUGUCUAGGGUCAGAGAAGGGCCUUGGCAUUCAUCUCACAUGCUACCCCUCAAGUCAUCAUUUGUCUCUCCCUCCUGGCUCCAACUCCCCCUGCCCCCAGCCUAGGAUGACGUCAGCCACUUUAAAUUCUCCUGUGGAUCUGAGCCUGCUCCUGUUCCCCUAACAAAGAGGCAUGGAAACCGUGUCAAAUGAUAGAGUCAAGACUACCGGCUCUCCACUCAGGGUGGUGUGACUCAGUUUCCUUCCUGCAUACGAACCCUGGAUAUCUGAUAUGAAUGGGAGCGUUGGGGGAGAUUUCCCUUUCUACUUAUCCCCAUGGUGGGCAGCCCCCAACUUAAGAGAAGCCUGGGGAAGCAGCCGGCCGCCGUAUCUACAUGUGCUCCCCCCUUCUUCUCUAAGGGGAGAGGAAGAACUGCCUGGCGGCUGAUAGGGCCAUGGGGCAGGAGGCGACUCCUUCCUCAGGCUGCGGGGAGAACUGGGGCCCAUCAGCCGAACUUGAUAAGAGCCCGCUGAAUGUUAGCAAAAAUAUUUAGACAAUAAACGAAGUAUCGCAAAGGCGCCCAUA